rnacentral:rRNA from 1 species
UACGGAGGGUGCAAGCGUUAUCCGGAUUCACUGGGUUUAAAGGGUGCGUAGGCGGGUUGGUAAGUCAGUGGUGAAAUCUUCAAGCUUAACUUGGGAACUGCCGUUGAUACUAUCAAUCUUGAAUGUUGUGGAGGUAAGCGGAAUAUGUCAUGUAGCGGUGAAAUGCUUAGAUAAUGACAUUAGAACACCGAUAGCGAAGGCAGCUUGCUACACAAAAAUGACGAC